rnacentral:rRNA from 1 species
CUGGCUCAGGAUAAACGCUGGCGGCGUGCUUAACACAUGCAAGUCGAACGGAGUGGUCUCCCGAGGAAUGAGGGUGCUUGCACCUGAAUGACUCAUUUGAAUCACUUAGUGGCGGACGGGUGAGUAACGCGUGGGAAACCUGCCCUAUACUGGGGGAUAGCAGUUGGAAACGACUGAUAAUACCGCAUAAGCGCACAGCUUCGCAUGAAGCAGUGUGAAAAACUCCGGUGGUAUAGGAUGGUCCCGCGUCUGAUUAGCUAGUUGGUGAGGUAACGGCCCACCAAGGCAACGAUCAGUAGCCGGCCUGAGAGGGUGUACGGCCACAUUGGGACUGAGACACGGCCCAAACUCCUACGGGAGGCAGCAGUGGGGAAUAUUGGACAAUGGGGGAAACCCUGAUCCAAGCGACGCCGCGUGAACGAAGAAGUAUUUCGGUAUGUAAAGUUCUAUCAGCAGGGAAGAUAAUGACGGUACCUGACUAAGAAGCACCGGCUAAAUACGUGCCAGCAGCUGC